rnacentral:rRNA from 1 species
ACAACGGAGAGUUUGAUCCUGGCUCAGGAUGAACGCUGGCGGCGUGCUUAACACAUGCAAGUCGAACGAACCUUCGGGUUAGUGGCGGACGGGUGAGUAACGCGUGGGAAUCUGCCCUCAGGAGGGGGAUAACGGCCGGAAACGGCCGCUAAUACCCCAUAUGCCGAGAGGUGAAAUGAAUUUCGCCUGAGGAUGAGCCCGCGUCUGAUUAGCUAGUUGGUGUGGUAAUGGCGCACCAAGGCGACGAUCAGUAGCUGGUCUGAGAGGAUGAUCAGCCACACUGGGACUGAGACACGGCCCAGACUCCUACGGGAGGCAGCAGUGGGGAAUUUUCCGCAAUGGGCGAAAGCCUGACGGAGCAACGCCGCGUGAGGGAUGAAGGCCUCUGGGCUGUAAACCUCUUUUCUCAAGGAAGAAGACAUGACGGUACUUGAGGAAUAAGCCACGGCUAAUUCCGUGCCAGCAGCCGCGGUAAUACGGGAGUGGCAAGCGUUAUCCGGAAUUAUUGGGCGUAAAGCGUCCGCAGGCGGCCUUGUAAGUCUGUCGUUAAAGCGUGGAGCUUAACUCCAUUUCAGCGAUGGAAACUACAAGGCUUGAGUGUGGUAGGGGCAGAGGGAAUUCCCGGUGUAGCGGUGAAAUGCGUAGAUAUCGGGAAGAACACCAGUGGCGAAGGCGCUCUGCUGGGCCAUAACUGACGCUCAUGGACGAAAGCCAGGGGAGCGAAAGGGAUUAGAUACCCCUGUAGUCCUGGCCGUAAACGAUGAACACUAGGUGUCGGGGGAAUCGACCCCCUCGGUGUCGUAGCUAACGCGUUAAGUGUUCCGCCUGGGGAGUACGCACGCAAGUGUGAAACUCAAAGGAAUUGACGGGGGCCCGCACAAGCGGUGGAGUAUGUGGUUUAAUUCGAUGCAACGCGAAGAACCUUACCAGGGUUUGACAUCCUGCGAAUCCCUUGGAAACGAGGGAGUGCCUUCGGGAGCGCAGAGACAGGUGGUGCAUGGCUGUCGUCAGCUCGUGUCGUGAGAUGUUGGGUUAAGUCCCGCAACGAGCGCAACCCACGUCUUUAGUUGCCAGCAUUCAGUUGGGCACUCUAGAGAGACCGCCGGUGAUAAACCGGAGGAAGGUGUGGAUGACGUCAAGUCAUCAUGCCCCUUACAUCCUGGGCUACACACGUACUACAAUGCUACGGACAAAGGGUUGCAAGCUCGCGAGAGUUAGCUAAUCCCAUAAACCGUGGCUCAGUUCAGAUCGUAGGCUGCAACUCGCCUACGUGAAGGAGGAAUCGCUAGUAAUCGCAGGUCAGCAUACUGCGGUGAAUACGUUCCCGGGCCUUGUACACACCGCCCGUCACACCAUGGAAGUUGGCCAUGCCCGAAGUCGUUACUCCAACCCUUGUGGAGGAGGACGCCGAAGGUGGGGCUGAUGACUGGGGUGAAGUCGUAACAAGGUAGCCGUACCGGAAGGUGCGGCUGGAUCACCUCCUAA